UACGUAGGGCGCAAGCGUUAUCCGGAAUUAUUGGGCGUAAAGAGCUCGUAGGCGGUUUGUCGCGUCUGCCGUGAAAGUCCGGGGCUCAACUCCGGAUCUGCGGUGGGUACGGGCAGACUAGAGUGAUGUAGGGGAGACUGGAAUUCCUGGUGUAGCGGUGAAAUGCGCAGAUAUCAGGAGGAACACCGUUGGCGAAGGCAGGUCUCUGGGCAUUAACUGACGCUGAGGCACGAAAGCGUGGGUAGCAAACAGG
rnacentral:rRNA from 1 species